rnacentral:rRNA from 1 species
GACGAACGCUGGCGGCGUGCUUAACACAUGCAAGUCGAACGGAAAGGCCCAGCUUGCUGGGUACUCGAGUGGCGAACGGGUGAGUAACACGUGGGUGAUCUGCCCCUGACUUUGGGAUAAGCCUGGGAAACUGGGUCUAAUACCGGAUAUGACCUUACAUCGCAUGGUGUUUGGUGGAAAGCUUUUGCGGUUGGGGAUGGGCCCGCGGCCUAUCAGCUUGUUGGUGGGGUAAUGGCCUACCAAGGCGACGACGGGUAGCCGACCUGAGAGGGUGAUCGGCCACACUGGGACUGAGACACGGCCCAGACUCCUACGGGAGGCAGCAGUGGGGAAUAUUGCACAAUGGGCGCAAGCCUGAUGCAGCGACGCCGCGUGAGGGAUGACGGCCUUCGGGUUGUAAACCUCUUUCACCAGGGACGAAGCGUGAGUGACGGUACCUGGAGAAGAAGCACCGGCUAACUACGUG